rnacentral:rRNA from 1 species
CAAUAGCGUAUAUUAAAGCUGUUGCGGUUAGAAAGCUCGCAGUUGGAAGCUGUUGCUGCACUUGGCUGUGUGGCGCAGCGUUCAGCACUUUCACUUUGAGGAAAUUCGAGUGUUUCAAGCCGGCACAUGCCUUUGGACACAGUAGCAUGGAAUAAUUAGAUUGGGCUUUUGCUCCAAUUUGUCGGUUUCUGGAGCUGAGGUGAGUAUUAAUGGGGAUUGUUGGGGGCAUCCGAAUUUAGCCGUCAGAUGUGAAAUUCUUGGAUCUGCUAAAGACGGACAAUUGCGAAAGCGUUUGCCCAGGAUGUUUUCAUUGA